rnacentral:rRNA from 1 species
CCUACGGGCUGCAGCAGUAGGGAAUAUUGCUCAAUGGGGGAAACCCUGAAGCAGCAAAGUCGCGUGGAGGAUGAAGGUUUUCGGAUUGUAAACUCCUUUUGUUAGAGAAGAUAAUGACGGUAUCUAACGAAUAAGCACCGGCUAAAUCCGUUCCAGCAGCCGCGGCAAUACGGAGGGUGCCAGCGUUACUCGGAAUCACUGGGCGUAAAGAGCGCGUAGGCGGGAUAGCAAGUCAGAUGUGAAAUCCUAUGGCUUAACCGUAGAAUUGCAUUUGAAACUGUGAGUCUAGAGUAUGGGAGAGGUAGGUGGAAUUCUUGGUGUAGGGGUAAAAUGCGUAGAGAUCAAGAGGAAUACUCAUUGCGAAGGCGACCUACUGGAACGUAACUGACGCUGAUGCGCGAAAGCGUGGGGAGCAAACAGGAUUAGAUACCCUAGUAGUC